rnacentral:rRNA from 1 species
CAGUAGACGCUGAAAGAGGAGCUUGCUCUUCUUGGAUGAGUUGCGAACGGGUGAGUAACGCGUAGGUAACCUGCCUUGUAGCGGGGGAUAACUAUUGGAAACGAUAGCUAAUACCGCAUAACAAUGGAUGACCCAUGUCAUUUAUUUGAAAGGGGCAAAUGCUCCACUACAAGAUGGACCUGCGUUGUAUUAGCUAGUAGGUGAGGUAACGGCUCACCUAGGCGACGAUACAUAGCCGACCUGAGAGGGUGAUCGGCCACACUGGGACUGAGACACGGCCCAGACUCCUACGGGAGGCAGCAGUAGGGAAUCUUCGGCAAUGGGGGCAACCCUGACCGAGCAACGCCGCGUGAGUGAAGAAGGUUUUCGGAUCGUAAAGCUCUGUUGUAAGUCAAGAACGAGUGUGAGAGUGGAAAGUUCACACUGUGACGGUAGCUUACCAGAAAGGGACGGCUAACUACGUGCCAGCAGCCGCGGUAAUACGUAGGUCCCGAGCGUUGUCCGGAUUUAUUGGGCGUAAAGCGAGCGCAGGCGGUUUGAUAAGUCUGAAGUUAAAGGCUGUGGCUCAACCAUAGUUCGCUUUGGAAACUGUCAAACUUGAGUGCAGAAGGGGAGAGUGGAAUUCCAUGUGUAGCGGUGAAAUGCGUAGAUAUAUGGAGGAACACCGGUGGCGAAAGCGGCUCUCUGGUCUGUAACUGACGCUGAAGCUCGAAAGCGUGGGGAGCGAACAGGAUUAGAUACCCUGGU